AUUGAACGCUGGCGGCAGGCCUAACACAUGCAAGUCGAACGAGUGGCGGACGGGUGAGUAAUGUCUGGGAAACUGCCUGAUGGAGGGGGAUAACUACUGGAAACGGUAGCUAAUACCGCAUACCAUCGGAUGUGCCAAGAUGGGAUUAGCUAGUAGGUGGGGUAACGGCUCACCUAGGCGACGAUCCCUAGCUGGUCUGAGAGGAUGACCAGCCACACUGGAGCUGAGACACGGUCCAGACUCCUACGGGAGGCGGCAGUGGUGAAUAUUGCACAAUGGGCGCAAGCCUGCUGCAGCCAUGCCGCGUGUAUGACGAAGGCCUUCCGGUUUUAAAGUACUUUCAGCGGGGAGGCGUUACCCGCAGAAGAAGCACCGGCUAACUCCGUGCCAGCAGCCGCGGUAAUAC
rnacentral:rRNA from 1 species